GACGAACGCUGGCGGCGUGCUUAACACAUGCAAGUCGAACGGAAAGGCCCUGCUUUUGUGGGGUGCUCGAGUGGCGAACGGGUGAGUAACACGUGAGUAACCUGCCCUUGACUUUGGGAUAACUUCAGGAAACGGGGGCUAAUACCGGAUAGGAGCUCCUGCUGCAUGGUGGGGGGUGGAAAUUUUCGGCGGUUGGGGAUGGACUCGCGGCUUAUCAGCUUGUUGGUGGGGUAGUGGCUUACCAAGGGUUUGACGGGUAGCCGGCCUGAGAGGGUGACCGGCCACAUUGGGACUGUGAUACGGCCCAGACUCCUACGGGAGGCAGCAGUGGGGAAUAUUGCACAAUGGGCGGAAGCCUGAUGCAGCAACGCCGCGUGCGGGAUGACGGCCUUCGGGUUGUAACCCGCUUUCGCCUGUGACGAAGCGUGAGUGACGGUAAUGGGUAAAGAAGCACCGGCUAACUACGUG
rnacentral:rRNA from 1 species